CUACGGGGGGCACCAGUGAGGAAUAUUGCACAAUGGGGGGAACCCUGAUGCAGCAACGCCGCGUGGAGGAUGACGCAUUUCGGUGUGUAAACUCCUUUUAUAUGUCAAGAAAAUGACGGUAGCAUAUGAAUAAGCACCGGCUAACUCCGUGCCAGCAGCCGCGGUAAUACGGAGGGUGCAAGCGUUACUCGGAAUCACUGGGCGUAAAGGACGCGUAGGCGGGUUGGAAAGUCAGGUGUGAAAUCCUACAGCCUAACUGUAGAACUGCACUUGAAACUUCUAAUCUAGAGUAUGGGAGGGGGAGAUGGAAUUAGUGGUGUAGGGGUAAAAUCCGUAGAUAUCACUGGGAAUACCUAAAGCGAAGGCGAUCUCCUGGAACAUUACUGACGCUAAGGCGUGAAAGCGUGGGGAGCAAACAGGAUUAGAUACCCCCGUAGUC
rnacentral:rRNA from 1 species